rnacentral:SRP_RNA from 1 species
UCAUACCAGUCGGGGGAGUAGCGGAGCCAUGUACCUGAAAUCCGCUAUAGCAGGGAUGGAUUCCUUCUUUGAGGGCCGAUCGUUUGCGGCUGAGUCGUAUCGCUCGUGUUGAGAGAUGGGUCUUGCGCAAUCGGUGGCUGUGAACCAUGUCAGGUGGGGAACCAAGCAGCAUU